CCUACGGGAGGCAGCAGUGGGGAAUAUUGCACAAUGGGGGAAACCCUGAUGCAGCGACGCCGCGUGAGUGAAGAAGUAUUUCGGUACGUAAAGCUCUAUCAGCAGGGAAGAAAAAACGUCCUUUGGACUUUGGACGGUACCUGACCAAGAAGCCCCGGCGAACUACGUGCCAGCAGCCGCGGGAAUACGUAGGGGGCAAGCGUUAUCCGGAUUUACCGGGGGUAAAGGGAGCGUAGACGGUAGGGCAAGUCUGGAGUGAAAUGCCGGGGCCCAACCCCGGAACUGCUUUGGAAACUGGGCAGCUGGAGUGCAGGAGAGGUAAGCGGAAUUCCUAGUGUAGCGGUGAAAUGCGUAGAUAUUAGGAGGAACACCAGUGGCGAAGGCGGCUUACUGGACUGUAACUGACGUUGAGGCUCGAAAGCGUGGGGAGCAAACAGGAUUAGAUACCCCUGUAGUC
rnacentral:rRNA from 1 species